AUUGAACGCUGGCGGCAGGCCUAACACAUGCAAGUCGAGCGAGCGGCGGACGGGUGAGUACUGUAUGGGGACUGCCCGAUAGAGGGGGAUAACUACUGGAAACGGUAGCUAAUACCGCAUACUAUCGGAUAACCCAUAUGGUAUUAGCUAGUCGGUGAGGUAAUGGCUCACAUAGGCGACGAUCCCUAGCUGAUCUGAGAGGUUGAUCGGCCACACUGGGACUGAGACACGGCCCAGACUCCUACGGAGGCAGCAGUAGGGAAUAUUGGGCAAUGGGCGAAAGUCUGACGGAGCAAUGCCGCGUGAAUGAAGAAGGCUUUAGGAUUGUAAAAUACUUUUGGUAGAGAGGCGGUAUCGACAGAGAAAGCACCGGCUAACUCCGUGCCAGCAGCCGCGGUAAUAC
rnacentral:rRNA from 1 species